CAAGUCGAACGUGAAAGUCCUUCGGGGCGAGUAAAGUGGCGCACGGGUGAGUAACGCGUGGAUAAUCUACCCUUAAGAUGGGGAUAACGGCUGGAAACGGUCGCUAAUACCGAAUACGCUCCCGAUUUUAUCAUUGGGGGGAAAGAUGGCCUCUGCUUGCAAGCUAUCGCUUAAGGAUGAGUCCGCGUCCCAUUAGCUAGUUGGCGGGGUAACGGCCCACCAAGGCAACGAUGGGUAGCCGGUCUGAGAGGAUGACCGGCCACACUGGAACUGGAACACGGUCCAGACUCC
rnacentral:rRNA from 1 species